UUUAGUAUAAUUAGUAUUAAUUUUUAAUAAAUUAGUAAAAUAGUGUAAUUCUCAGUAAAUAAUUUUAUAUAUUAAAGAAAUUUAGAUUUAUUAAUAAUUAUUAAUAUUAACAAAAUUUGUGCCAGCAGUUGCGGUUAUACAAAUAAUAUAGUUAAAUUUUUAUAGUAAAACUAUAGUUGAUUAUAGGGUUUAAAAAUAUAAUUUUUUAGGUGAAAUUUAAAAUUAUUAAAGUUAAUUAAUUAUUAAUUAUUGAAGUUAAAAAUUUAAUUUAAAAACUAGGAUUAGAUACCCUAUUAUUAUAAAUAUGAUUUUAGGUACUUAGUUAGUAUUAGUUAUGGUCUUUAAAAUUAAAAAAUUUGGCGGUAUUUUAAUUUUUCAGAGGAACCUGUUUCAUAAUUGAUAGUCCACAAUUAAAUUAAUUUUUUUUAAAUUUAUAUAUCGUUGUAGUUUGAUUAUUCUAGAAGGUGUAUAUUCAAGAUUUAUUAUAAUAAAAAAUAUCAGAUCAAGAUGUAGUUUAUAAAGAAAAGAAAAUGGGUUACAUUAAAUUGAUUUAAAGAGGGGUAUUUUAAAAAUAUUCUAAAUAUGGAUUUGAAAGUAAUAUUGAUUAUAUAAUUAAUAUGAUUAAACUAUAAAGUAUGCACAUAUUGCCCGUCGCUUUCAUUAUAAAAUGAAAUAAGUCGUAACAAAGUAGAUUUAUUGGAAAAUGAAUCUGGAAAAUC
rnacentral:ncRNA from 1 species